GACGAACGCUGGCGGCGUGCCUAAUACAUGCAAGUCGAACGCAGUGGGGACGGGUGAGUAACACGUGGGUAACCUCCCAUCAGAGGGGAUAACACUUGGAAACAGGUGCUAAACCGAUACUGAUGGAUGAACCCGCGGUGCAUUAGCUUGUUGGUGGGGGAAAGGCCUACCAAGGCGACGAUCCGUAACUGGUCUGAGAGGAUGAUCGGUCACACUGGAACUGAGACACGGUCCAGACUCCUACGGGAGGCAGCAGUAGGGAAUCUUCGGCAAUGGACGAAAGUCUGACCGAGCAACGCCGCGUGAGUGAAGAAGGUUUUCGGAUCGUAAAACUCUGUUGUAAGAGAAGCGGUAUCUAACCAGAAAGCACCGGCUAACUCCGUGCCAGCAGCCGCGGUAAUUC
rnacentral:rRNA from 1 species